AGGCUGCUGGGCUGCUUUUGCACAGCAGGCUGCAAUAAAUACCAGGGUGCCCUGGGUGGGGCAGAGAGGCUCAAACAGAUGCUGCAUGGUGGGACUAAUCCCUUCCCAAACUUGAGAGCAGCAGAAGCAGCUCUGCUCCCCUACCACAGUGCAGGAAGGAGGAAUGACUGGAGUGUUAUUGUGUCUGAUCCACAGAGCAGGAGUCUGUUACUCCUCCACUCCACCGAAGUAAAAGGAGGCCAAACGGACGUGGACCAUGUGUGGACUCAGGCUCUUGUGCUGAGGUGUGUUAAGCCUGCGGAUGGCAGUAGGGGAGAAGCGGGAGGCGUGAAAGGGUGCUCUCGCCUGCACGCAGAGCCUUUCCGAAGUCCGUUUUGGGAAACUCGUUCAUAGGACAUAGCUGAGCUUUGGGGCUGCUGCUGUCUGCUGUUUCUAUAGGAAUCAGCAAACCAGGAGGUGGUGGGUGGACGUGUCAUGUUUCAUUUGCUUUGGAAAUCCGCCAGCCAUCAAAAACCUCUGCGGGAUAACACUGCAGCAGCUUUCACUUGCAGCUGGCUACUUUGCUUCAGCCCGUUUUACAGACGAGACCCAAGACUUUCCUAGGGACGGAACCGUUCGCAGUGACCACACUCCCACCAGAACGGCUUUAUAAAUGCACGCCAAGGAGAACGGUAACCCCAAAACAAAGGGCCAAAUGCUGUUCAGAAAAGGAGAAUGAUUGUUUGUUUUUUCCAGUAAUGCAUAUUGCAAGCUAAAUCCACAAGCAUUUUGGAAACAGCCAGGAAUUCUUGGCUUUCAUGUUUCCCAGUCCCCUGCGAAGCUGCAACCUGAACAUAUAAGAAUAAUCUUAAAUCAAGUUUAUAGCUUUCACUUGCAGUUUCUUAAAACAAUCCCUAUCUAUUAGGGAUUACAACACGACUUUCACCGGGGGUGGGGGGGCAGAUUAUCCCAUCUUGACCUCCUGUGAGGUUUCUUGCACCUUCUUCUGAAGCAUCCAGUGCUGGCCUCUGCUGGAGACAGGUACUGGACUAGAGGGACCUUGGGUCUGACUCAGUCUGGCAAUUCCUAUAUAGAAGUAUGGUUCUAAUGUGAGAAACAACUAUGUCAGAAUGGUACCUUGUUACCCAAGAGAUGUACACUGUGUGUUUCAGAAUCCCUGACUGCUGACAUUAGCGACAAAAAUAAGCUUUGAUUACUAUUAAUCUAUCCAUCCACACUAUCUUCUUAUAAGGUGUGACUCGUAUCUGAGUAUCUUCAACUUCUGCUAGGCCGUCAGAACCAAUACACCUACGUGUAUGUGCUGGAUUUUAUUCCUCCUUGUGCAUCAUCAACAGCAUUGUUUAUUAAAUUCCAACUAACCCUAUGUAAAUCUACUGAAGACAGUGUGGUUGCACAAGAGGUAGGGCAGAACUGGUCCUGAGGAACUUUUUAUUGCUGCUGUUGAGGCAUGUACUAGACAGAAACCAGCUUGACAUUUUGAUCCCUGGUUCCAUUUGCAUGAUUCUCAGUUAGAAAACAAUCAUCUCUAUUUGUGCACAAAGCACAGUUGAUAUGGAAAUCACUGAGACACAAUGAGCCUGGAAAUCACCACUGUGUUGCCAGCUGGUUAGAAGAACCCAGUUGUAGCAUAGAUAGGACUUCCAUUAAAAGUGGUUUCCAAACAUGUUGAGCUUUCCACUAAUAUAGACCAGUUUCGGGCCACAUUUUGCCCAGUUUUAUACUUGUAUAAAUGUGGAGUGAUCCCAGGUAGGUC